rnacentral:lncRNA from 1 species
AAUAAAGCUGUACAAGCGGUGUAUUCAGAUAGUUUGGAAAUACUUAUUUUUAAGAAGUUCAAUGAUCACUUGCCAAUAUGAUACACAAUCUACCAGCUAAACCAUAAACUGUAGAAAAUAAACUACAAUGAGCAUAAGGGGAAAAAAAAACCUCCACAAUUAAAAAUUCACUUUAAAAUUCAGCCACAUCCUUUAAGUGCUCAUCUGUAAUAAGUAUAUAUAGUGUAUAAAGUUCAAAAUAGAAAUGAAAUUACUAAGUAAAUAUUUUCAUUAUGAGAUUUCCCAAUAAACACAAUGAGUAUGCAGAGAUCUUUUUAAGCUUAGUGCCAGCUUUCCCAUGAACAUGGGAUGAAAUAUUUUUAAAACAUGUGUCCUCACCUGGCAUUAUAAAUAUAAGACACAGCCUAUUUCUACUAUUUAGGCUGUUUCUUUCCAACUAGUAUAUUUUUACAUCAAGAAAAACACAUAUAGCAUAAGCUUUAAGAGGAGAAACUAAUCCAUCAUUAUAUGAGUUUUGGUCAAUUUCGCUUUCAAGGAUGUACAGAUUGCUUUCCAAAAUAAGGCUAUGCUCAUAAAAAUGCUGGUUUUCAAGUAUACGGUAUAUAUUGGUGGGAAAGGGGCACAAAACGGGUUUUUUUUCCAGAAUGUUCCCUUGUCCUUUGUCUACCUUAUUUCCCGUUUAUGAGCAGCUCCUAAAUGAAGCAGAUUUAAUGGCUGCCGCUGAAUUUCUCCAAAGAAUAAAAACUGUGAAUCAGCCAAUAUCUUUUCCCCCACUUCAUUAUGUUACAUUUUUACUAAAAAUCUUUUUAGCAGAUAAGAGUCAUUUUCUAUGCAAUUCAGAAGCGCCAUACUUUAAGUAAACUUGAAAAUUAAGUUUUACACAGAAGAUAAAUUGGGGAUAUCUACUUCAACAAAAGAUUCUUAUUUCUUAAUAGGAUUCUUUAAAAUAGCAAGCUUCCCCAGCAAAUAAGGCAAAAAGCAAUUAAUGGUUAUUGAGCACUCACUAAUGUGCCAGGUAUUCCACCUCAUUAUUUCAGAUUCAUUAUCUCACCAAAGCCUCCCAACCUUGUGAAGCAUAUUGUAUCAUCCCCACUUAAUAGACAGCUCAGGAUUAUAGUUGCCUAGGAUCCCAGCUAUAGCGAGUAGUGACAUAGGGUUUCUAAUUGACAUCUGAUUCCAAAGCCACACUCUUACUCUUUCCAACAUAUC